GCCUUACACAUGCAAGUCGAACGGUAACAGGUCUUCGGAUGCUGACGAGUGGCGAACGGGUGAGUAAUACAUCGGAACGUGCCCGAGAGUGGGGGAUAACGAAGCGAAAGCUUUGCUAAUACCGCAUACGAUCUCAGGAUGAAAGCAGGGGACCGCAAGGCCUUGCGCUCACGGAGCGGCCGAUGGCAGAUUAGGUAGUUGGUGGGAUAAAAGCUUACCAAGCCGACGAUCUGUAGCUGGUCUGAGAGGACGACCAGCCACACUGGGACUGAGACACGGCCCAGACUCCUACGGGAGGCAGCAGUGGGGAAUUUUGGACAAUGGGCGCAAGCCUGAUCCAGCCAUGCCGCGUGCAGGAUGAAGGCCUUCGGGUUGUAAACUGCUUUUGUACGGAACGAAAAGACUCUGGUUAAUACCUGGGGUCCAUGACGGUACCGUAAGAAUAAGCACCGGCUAACUACGUGCCAGCAGCCGCGGUAAUACGUAGGGUGCGAGCGUUAAUCGGAAUUACUGGGCGUAAAGCGUGCGCAGGCGGUUAUGUAAGACAGGUGUGAAAUCCCCGGGCUCAACCUGGGAACUGCAUUUGUGACUGCAUAGCUAGAGUACGGCAGAGGGGGAUGGAAUU
rnacentral:rRNA from 1 species